AUUGAACGCUGGCGGCAUGCCUUACACAUGCAAGUCGGACGAGUGGCGAACGGGCGAGUAACGCAUCGGAACGUACCGAGCAACGGGGGAUAACUGUCCGAAAGGACAGCUCAUACCGCAUAUUAUUCGAGCGGCUGAUGCCUGAUUAGCUGGUUGGCGGGGUAAAGGCCCACCAAGGCGACGAUCAGUAGCGGGUCCGGGAGGAUGAUCCGCCACACUGGGACUGAGACACGGCCCAGAUUCCUACGGGAGGCAGCAGUGGGGAAUUUUGGGCAAUGGGCGCAAGCCUGAUCCAGCCAUGCCGCGUGUCUGAAGAAGGCCUUCGGGUUGUAAAGGACUUUUGUCAGGGAAGCGGUACCUGAAGAGUAAGCACCGGCUAACUACGUGCCAGCAGCCGCGGUAAUUC
rnacentral:rRNA from 1 species